rnacentral:rRNA from 1 species
UCAUAGCAAGGGCCGGGCAAGACCGGUGCCAGCCGCCGCGGUAACACCGGCGGCUCGAGUGGUAACCGUUAUUAUUGGGUCUAAAGGGUCUGUAGCCGGCCGGAUAAGUCUCUUGAGAAAUCUGGCAGCUUAACUGUCAGGCUUUCAGGAGAUACUGUCUGGCUCGAGGCCGGGAGAGGUGAGAGGUACUUCAGGGGUAGGGGUGAAAUCUUGUAAUCCUUGAAGGACCACCAGUGGCGAAGGCGUCUCACCAGAACGGACCUGACGGCAAGGGACGAAAGCUAGGGGCACGAACCGGAUUAGAUACCCGGGUAGUCCUAGCCGUAAACGAUACUCGCUAGGUGUCGGCCACGGUGCGACCGUUGUCGGUGCCGUAGGGAAGCCGUGAAGCGAGC